UGGGGAAUAUUGGACAAUGGGCGCAAGCCUGAUCCAGCCAUGCCGCGUGAGUGAUGAAGGCCCUAGGGUUGUAAAGCUCUUUCACCGGUGAAGAUAAUGACGGUAACCGGAGAAGAAGCCCCGGCUAACUUCGUGCCAGCAGCCGCGGUAAUACGAAGGGGGCUAGCGUUGUUCGGAUUUACUGGGCGUAAAGCGCACGUAGGCGGACUUUUAAGUCAGGGGUGAAAUCCCGGGGCUCAACCCCGGAACUGCCUUUGAUACUGGAAGUCUUGAGUAUGGUAGAGGUGAGUCGAAUUCCGAGUGUAGAGGUGAAAUUCGUAGAUAUUCGGAGGAACACCAGUGGCGAAGGCGGCUCACUGGACCAUUACUGACGCUGAGGUGCGAAAGCGUGGGGAGCAAACAGG
rnacentral:rRNA from 1 species